GUGGGGAAUUUUGGACAAUGGGCGCAAGCCUGAUCCAGCAAUGCCGCGUGCAGGAAGAAGGCCUUCGGGUUGUAAACUGCUUUUGUACGGAACGAAACGGUCCGGGUUAAUACCCUGGGCUAAUGACGGUACCGUAAGAAUAAGCACCGGCUAACUACGUGCCAGCAGCCGCGGUAAGACGUAGGGUGCAAGCGUUAAUCGGAAUUACUGGGCGUAAAGCGUGCGCAGGCGGUUUUGUAAGACAGGCGUGAAAUCCCCGGGCUCAACCUGGGAAUUGCGCUUGUGAAUGCAAGGCUGGAGUGCGGCAGAGGGGGAUGGAAUUCCGCGUGUAGCAGUGAAAUGCGUAGAUAUGCGGAGGAACACCGAUGGCGAAGGCAAUCCCCUGGGCCUGCACUGACGCUCAUGCACGAAAGCGUGGGGAGCAAACAGGAUUAGAAACCCGUGUAGUCC
rnacentral:rRNA from 1 species